GGAGAGGUGGCCGAGUGGUCGAAGGCGCACGCCUGGAAAGUGUGUUCAUGCCAAAAGCGUGACGGGGGUUCGAAUCCCUUCCUCUCCG
rnacentral:tRNA from 1 species